UGGGAAUGCUUGGAGCAGACUAACAUGUGAGCUGAAGUGUUCUGAGACGUUAUAUUUGGUAUAUCCAGACCAUCCGUCGGCUCUUACUUCGGAAACAUGGCUUAAAAAAUUUCUCUUCAACAACGUAAUCCGAUAAAAAAAAAAAAAGAUCUCUUUACCCGUCGGCUUCCCGUGGCUGUCAUGCGACCAGCUAUUGCAGUUAAUAAUACAACAGCUUCUUGGCAUUUUUUGGGUUUCUUUUUAUCGCUAGUACCUCUUGCCACAAGUUCCCAGAAUCCUUUGCGGUUUUACCCCUGAAUGACGUCACAUUUUUAAUCUUUAUCCUGGUGGGCCGUCUCUAGUCAAAAUGCCCGGGCCGAUUUUUUGUCCCAGUCCAGCCCUGCUAGCAGAUCGUUACAUGGAGAAACCUUUGGAAUGCAAGCAUGCUGAUCCACACAGGUAUGCACACAGGUGUACACACGGGUAUUCACAGACGCGGACUACAGCUUUCUUGGCUGCUGCCUCAAAGCACAUUGUGCGCUGUCUAUCUUGCGUGCUGCACAAUAUCGUUUAUUAUUUAGUAUCUACUGAUAUCUACUGCUAGCUAGUUUAUUGUGAUGGUGCUGUUUUUUUUUAUUAUGUUGCUCUUUGUUGUUUGCUUUCUCUUCUGUUUUUUUUCUCCAUACAGGUGACCCAGGUGUUUUUUUGUUUGUUUGUUUGUUUGUUUGUUUUUCUUUCCUCCCCCCCUUCUCACCGUCUCUUCUCCCCUUUGGUUUUCUUUCUCUCCCUCUCUUUCUUUCAUUCUUUCCCCCUGUCCUAUCCCCCAGUCAUGUCUGUCCCGUUUGUAGCAACUGAAAAUAAAAUAAAUUCAUAAUUAUAAUAAAGGUCAAUCAAAUGGACCAAUAUGGCAAGGCCAUGAUGAUCCACUUGGUAAAAUAAAUCCGCUUGGCAUCUUUCUUGGCCUUAAGACAACAAUUCUGAUGGCUAAAGAUCCAAACGGGACACAAAAAAAAAAAAAGAAAGAAAGAAAAAAAAAAAAGAAAAAAAAGAAAAGAAAACCGCUACUGACCACCUGCGUGUUGCUGCUCUUAUGGAAUACAUCUGCACAAGUUGAGUAAGUUCACGCCAGACUUUAUUCACCGUGCCCCAUAACGGCGUUUUGCGCUGCAGCAGUCUGUGCGACAGUGAAGUAAGUAAAGAAAUUGUCUGUUGUGACGUU
ensembl:lncRNA